rnacentral:rRNA from 1 species
GGGCCAGGGGGGGGUGCUAUACAUGCAAGUCGAACGCUUUGUGGUUCAACUGAUUUGAAGAGCUUGCUCAGAUAUGACGAUGGACAUUGCAAAGAGUGGCGAACGGGUGAGUAACACGUGGGAAACCUACCUCUUAGCAGGGGAUAACAUUUGGAAACAGAUGCUAAUACCGUAUAACAAUGACAACCGCAUGGUUGUUAUUUAAAAGAUGGUUCUGCUAUCACUAAGAGAUGGUCCCGCGGUGCAUUAGCUAGUUGGUAAGGUAAUGGCUUACCAAGGCGAUGAUGCAUAGCCGAGUUGAGAGACUGAUCGGCCACAAUGGGACUGAGACACGGCCCAUACUCCUACGGGAGGCAGCAGUAGGGAAUCUUCCACAAUGGGCGAAAGCCUGAUGGAGCAACGCCGCGUGUGUGAUGAAGGGUUUCGGCUCGUAAAACACUGUUGUAAGAGAAGAAUGACAUUGAGAGUAACUGUUCAAUGUGUGACGGUAUCUUACCAGAAAGGAACGGCUAAAUACGUGCCAGCAGCCGCGGUAAUACGUAUGUUCCAAGCGUUAUCCGGAUUUAUUGGGCGUAAAGCGAGCGCAGACGGUUAUUUAAGUCUGAAGUGAAAGCCCUCAGCUCAACUGAGGAAUUGCUUUGGAAACUGGAUGACUUGAGUGCAGUAGAGGAAAGUGGAACUCCAUGUGUAGCGGUGAAAUGCGUAGAUAUAUGGAAGAACACCAGUGGCGAAGGCGGCUUUCUGGACUGUAACUGACGUUGAGGCUCGAAAGUGUGGGUAGCAAACAGGAUUAGAUACCCUGGUAGUCCACACCGUAAACGAUGAGUGCUAGGUGUUUGAGGGUUUCCGCCCUUAAGUGCCGCAGCUAACGCAUUAAGCACUCCGCCUGGGGAGUACGACCGCAAGGUUGAAACUCAAAGGAAUUGACGGGGACCCGCACAAGCGGUGGAGCAUGUGGUUUAAUUCGAAGCAACGCGAAGAACCUUACCAGGUCUUGACAUCCCUUGACAACUCCAGAGAUGGAGCGUUCCCUUCGGGGACAAGGUGACAGGUGGUGCAUGGUUGUCGUCAGCUCGUGUCGUGAGAUGUUGGGUUAAGUCCCGCAACGAGCGCAACCCUUAUUACUAGUUGCCAGCAUUCAGUUGGGCACUCUAGUGAGACUGCCGGUGACAAACCGGAGGAAGGUGGGGAUGACGUCAAAUCAUCAUGCCCCUUAUGACCUGGGCUACACACGUGCUACAAUGGCGUAUACAACGAGUUGCCAACCCGCGAGGGUGAGCUAAUCUCUUAAAGUACGUCUCAGUUCGGAUUGUAGGCUGCAACUCGCCUACAUGAAGUCGGAAUCGCUAGUAAUCGCGGAUCAGCACGCCGCGGUGAAUACGUUCCCGGGUCUUGUACACACCGCCCGUCACACCAUGAGAGUUUGUAACACCCAAAGCCGGUGGGGUAACCUUCGGGAGCCAGCCGUCUAAGGUGGAACAGUUGGG